rnacentral:rRNA from 1 species
UACGUAGGGUGCAAGCGUUGUCCGGAAUUAUUGGGCGUAAAGAGCUCGUAGGCGGUUUGUCGCGUCUGCUGUGAAAACUCGGGGCUUAACCCCGGGCCUGCAGUGGGUACGGGCAGACUAGAGUGCGGUAGGGGAGACUGGAAUUCCUGGUGUAGCGGUGAAAUGCGCAGAUAUCAGGAGGAACACCCGUGGCUAAGGCGGCUCACUGGCCCGGUACUGACGCUGAGGCACGAAAGCGUGGGGAGCGAACAGG